AAGGGGUUAAAUGUCCUAGGAAAAAAAACUUCCCUCCUUCCUCAUCAACUCUCCCCCUCCCUAAGCAGAGCUUCGUUCCAUUUCUGUCCAACGCAUGCUAAGCAGAUCUGAGCUUCAUUCCAAUUUUGUUUGGCAUCGUGGAGGUUCGUUCCAAGUUUGUUUCACAUCUGUGAGCUUCGAGCUUUGUUACAGGUUCAUCUUAAGCAGAUAUGAGACAUUGAGCUUUGUGUCAGGUCCAUCGAGCUUUGAGCUCCUUCAAGUAGUGUUGUUUGAGCUUUGUUCCAACGUCGUUGAAGCAAAUCUAAGAGAGGCAACGAUUUCUCAUUUGCACAUUUGGGUUUUUCUUUGGCUAUCUUGUUAAUGGUGUUUUUUAGCCUACCGCCGCCGCUGGAGCAGAAGAUGGAAUAGUUCCAAUUCCUAUGGCUGCAAUUAUCAGUUGGUUCUACUUGCACGUAUGGUUCUCUCCUGGAUAUUCUCAACACGCUAGCGUUAUUUGAUGUUAUGAUCUCCCUGCUCUACACUGACUUGACGAAUCCUUUAACUCUAGCUUCUAGUUUUUAGCAUUGGUUUAAUUUGCAGUCUGCAGGAUAUGUUCAAAAUGCUCAAAGCAGGAUAAAAGUAUGAGUGCAAGAUGUCAUAUUGGUGUUUGUUCUAUACAUUUACUACUCUUCACUGCAUUCAUUUGUGUCCUUUUACACGUUGUUGAAAUGAAUGCAAUUGUAGUGCCCAGUUCUAGCUGCUACGUUUUUUGCAAUAGUCAUAUUAUUGACUUUGUAUCCUACACAGUAUGGUAUACAUUUAAGUUUUGGUGUAUCUGAUAUUCUCUUGAAAUUAACCAUUUUGUUGAGAAUGAUAGCAAUUGGAGUACUUUGAUGAGUUUGAUAGCACCGAUCCAUAGCUAUUUUGCGAUCCCUUGAAAAUUAAGCGAAAGGUAAUUGUUCCUCUUGAGACUGGAUAUGGUCAAAAGAGAAUGAAUGAAAUCUCAGUUGACUUGCUUAAACAUGGCUUGCCUGACCCUUAGUUCUCACUCUCUAGACUUCAAAGCUCAAUAUAUAGAUUAAAUAAUGUACUUUGUCUAGACAUUACUUAUAAACAAUUUGUCACUUUUGUGUUUGUUGAAAGUUGAGUUUUGUAUACAA